CAUACCCUUUGAGGGAAAAUGGAUCUAUAUACCAAAAGCUUUUGAAAAUAUUUACUUAUGUUUAUUUAUUCACUGCUUACAACUAAAUACAGUCGUUAAAGUACUUCUACAGCUAGAAGCUACAGAAGUCAACAGCAAAAUGUUCGGAAAAUAAAACUAUAAAAAACUAUUAUACAACGAUUAAACUAUUAUAUAAAAACAAUUAUAUAAACCACUAUUUUAUAACAACAAUAACUAUUUUAUAAAAAAACUAUUAAACGUAAAAAACUUAAGAAACUCAAUGCGGUACAAAUAUAAAUAAUUUCAAUGUUUGCCUUCCAGCUUUCAAUUAGUGUCAUAAACGUCAAAGUCUUGAAAUGGCCUAUUUACAUUUGUAAAGAAUAUCCUGUUUGUUUUUAUUGUCGAUUGUGCAGCGAAAUUGUGAUAGCAAAUCAAAUAUAAAGUAGUUUAUCGCCUACAGAACUGAAUUAGUCCAUAGCAGUUAUCAGUUUUUCUUUCUUGGGAAGCUUAUACAUGUAACUUUUAUUGUUGUAAAUUGUGGGAGUAGGGCAGACAGGGAAAAGUCUUAUUUUGUACUGUUCCCAAGGCUCCCCAUGCAAUACAUUUAAAUGAAUUAUCCAAACAAAGCCGGGGACAAUGGAUAAAAGCCACAAGAAGAACAGAUAUAAGGGAACUAAAAUUAAAAUAUGAAAAGUAAACAUUUUAUAAGUGGAACAACCACCAGAUAUUUAAAAGGUAUAAAAAGAAACUGCUGGAAUUUCAAAACAAAUGUGUUUGACUAGUAAAGAUUUGGAUAAAUAACAGGAGUUACUUUGGGCUAUAGCUACGUGCAGAUUUAUUUCCUUGUGGCUUCCUAUGUUAAUUCUUAUUAAUUAUACACUUAAAUAUGUUUUUAGUCUCAGGAAGAUUUUAUAUUUGAUUAUUUUUGAAUAAACAUUAUUAUUAUUAUUACCUUAAUUUCCAUUAAAUAAAUUUACUGUAAUCAAUAAAGUAAUCGUUUAAUUGUUAAUAAAUUAUCAAGUAUGAUUCCCAAA